rnacentral:rRNA from 1 species
GGGAUAACUAUUGGAAACGAUAGCUAAUACCGCAUAACAAUGGAUGACACAUGUCAUUUAUUUGAAAGGGGCAAUUGCUCCACUACAAGAUGGACCUGCGUUGUAUUAGCUAGUAGGUGAGGUAAUGGCUCACCUAGGCGACGAUACAUAGCCGACCUGAGAGGGUGAUCGGCCACACUGGGACUGAGACACGGCCCAGACUCCUACGGGAGGCAGCAGUAGGGAAUCUUCGGCAAUGGGGGGUCACGCGGCCGCGUGCGGGAUGAAGGCCCCUGGGUUGUAAACCGCUGUCGUAGGGGAAUAAUGGUCGUGGGUUCUCCAUCGAUUGAAUGAUCCUAGGAGGAGACGGCUAAGUCGUGCCAGUCAGCCGCGGUAAGACGAACGUCAAACGGUUNUACGGAAUCGACUGG